AACAAUCUAAACUAACAAUAAUACAACGAACAAUAAAAUAACAAGAAAAAUAAGCUAACAAUAAUACAACCAAAAAGGAAGGCUGUUCGCCUUCCUACUGGGUGACGCUGAUAUUCGCUUUGAGGACACCACAGAACAUAGCAAUCCGUAGAUGGAGAUUGCAAGGCCGUCGGCCGCAGAUGUUUUCCUUCAUCCGAUACAGCAGAUCAUCUGCUCGUGGCGUACCAACAGCUGAUGUGGCCAGCAAAGCUGUGACGGCGAGCUUUGAGUGGAUGGCCGUUAAUCCCUCCCUUGUGUGUGGUGAAUUUUCAGUAUAACGAAUUUAAAAUUCGACCACAUUCAAAUUUGGAUAUUGGAUUAUUAUAAAUUAUUACGGCGUUUUUAUAACUUAAUAUGGCGUUCAUAUGAAUUAUUAAGGCGUUUAUAUUAAUUGUGACUGGGUUAUUACAAUGUAUACACUGGGUGCCGAAUCUAAAAAUAAAUAUAACAAAUAUUUACCCUAUUCUGGAAAACGGCACUUGGUUUAAUUACGCCAGUUGGCAAAUUCCUGUAGUGGACAACCAGCUACAAGUGGACGGCAAGGUGCAAUUAUACAUUGAAGUAUCUUUGUAUACUCACAACACAUGCACUUAUCCACUAUUUUUACAAUCAAGUUCUGCACAUAACCUGCCAACAAUUUUCUUGCUAACAAAACCAACAACAAAAACCUUUUUUCGGAAUUUUGACAAAUAGUCCUACUCAAAAAGGAAAUCGCUUGUCUAUUUUGGUUUGGACUUAACACGAUCAGCUGAUCUAGUAAUUAAUGCUUGCAAGUAUCGUAGUCCACCAAUAGAUGGCGCUAUUAUUGGAGCUUUCAGACUUAUGGAUAGUAAAGCUCCACUUCUCAAUACAAAACAUAACAAUACAUUUAGUUCCAUUUUCUCAGGAUACAAAAA